rnacentral:rRNA from 1 species
UACAGAGGUCUCAAGCGUUUGUUCGGAUUCAUUGGGCGUAAAGGGCGCGUAGGCUGCGGGGCAAGUCGGGUGUGAAAUCUCAGAGCUCAACUCUGAAACUGCACUCGAUACUGCUUUGCUUGAGGACUGGAGAGGAGAUUGGAAUUCACGGUGUAGCAGUGAAAUGCGUAGAUAUCGUGAGGAAGACCAGUGGCGAAGGCGGAUCUCUGGAC